GCAGUGAAUGAUCCAUGAAGGAGGAGUUUGCUUCAAAUUAUCUGAGUAUUUUAAUGGAGAAGAAUAAAACAGGAGGAUGUGACUGCAGCAGUGGUAGGGGCUGGUGAUCCUGAGAGCUCUCCUCUGAAUGUGUGUCUGAAACAUAGAUCAGUUUGAUCUCUUCCAAAAUGAAUUGUGCCUGUACAGUCUGCAUCUCUGACGGUCCUUGUCCUUGAAAGAUUUUGGAGCACUGUGAUGUUGCUUUCUGAAAACUGAUCCAUGACUCUCCUCUGA